GACGAACGCUGGCGGCGUGCUUAACACAUGCAAGUCGAACGGAAAGGCCCUUCGUGGUUCUCGUGUGGCAAACGGGUGCGUAACACGUGGGUGAUCGGCCCUGCACUUUGGGCUAAGCCUGGCUAAUUGGGACUAAAACCGAUAAGGAAUACGCGCUGCAUUGGGAGUGCAUUUAAGCUGUUGCGGUGUUGGAUGGGCUUGCGGCCUAUCAGCUUGUUGGUGGGGUAAUUGCCUACCAAGGCGACGACGGGUAGCCGGCCUGAGAGGGUGACCGGCCACACAGGGACUGGGAAACGACCAAGAGGCAUACGGGAGGAAGCGGUGGGAGAUAGUGCAAAAAGGGCGGAAGCCGGGUGGAGCGACGUCGGGUGAGGAAUGACGGCCGUCGGGUUGGAAACAGCGUGCAAGAGGGACGAAGAGCAAGUGACGGUACCUAUAGAGGAAGCACCGGCCAACUACGUG
rnacentral:rRNA from 1 species